UAUAACUAAAAAUACAACAACAUGACCCAUUAUUUGUGGUUACUAAACCACAUAAGCCUCUGUGCACCUUUAUCUUCUUGAACCAUGGUCAUGGUGGUGUGGUGGGUGUGGCUAAUUUAGCCUGCAGCAAUCGACCUUAUUGUUGGACUUUGGGGUUGGUACAGAUUUUGGUACCACAGAUUUCAAUAUCUGUACCAACACUGACUUUUUCUUUGCCGGGAAAACACUUCCAUUUUUCUGUUUGUUGGAGCUGAGCUGCUCUUCACUUGGGCUAGAGUCCACCACCUUCUUUGGCUCUAUUUUGGUGCAGCCACAGCAGCCCUCCUCCUCAUCUGAGCUCACCAUCUUUGCCUUUUCCAUCUUGUUAGUUGCCAUCUCUCUUUUCUCUCUAAAUUUCCUUUCAAUUUUUCAACUCCAAAUUGUGAAGGUUUUUGAAGAGAUUAAUAAUGUUAAGUAGAAAGACACUCUUGGACGCCAAGAGUGAACUGUGACAUUCUUGGGCUCCAAGGCUGAGCUGGAAUCUAAUCUCCUAUAGAGGGUGACAUUGAAAAUCUGCUAUUUGCUAAUUGAGGAGUUAUGGCCAGGAUCCAAUUUGAUAAGCUUUGAGUGUGCAAAGACAUUUUCUAUUUAUGGGUUGUUAUUUGCUAACUGAAGUCUUCAAUCCUCUGUUGCUCUAUCUGGAGGGUGACAUUGACAAUCUGCUAUUUGCUAAUUGAGGAGUUAUGGCCAGGAUCCUAUUUGAUAAGCUUUGAGUGUGCACAGACAUUUUCUAUUUAUGGAUUGUUAUUUGCUAACUGAAGACUUCAAUCCUCGGUUGCUCUAUCUGAGAAGUGUUGUGUUUGCAAAAUUCAUCUAUUCAUGGAUGCUUGUUUGCCUAUGUGGAUUUUAAGAGGAGGGUAGCAUCGACGAGCUACUAUUUGCUAAUUUAGGAGUUAUGGCCAGGAUCCUAUCAGGUUCAAAGUCUUUGGACCCUCUAUUGCUGAGUGCUAUGUUGUGACCAGUAAUCAGUAAUCAAAACAAAAACUCAAGCGAUAAGCUUUAACCAUUGAAGAUGGAGCACUAUAUAUAAAACCUGAGUAGACUUCAUUUUUUUUUUUAUUGCUGUUUUUGAAGUGUUGGUUAUGUAGUAUUCAUUAGAUUGUUAUUAGUCAAUUUCUAAUUCUUUUCUUUGAGUGAUAAUUUACAUUUAGAAAAACAAUUUUGGGGUUCAAUAUUAGAUUGUUUCUGUAAGAUCUUAUGCUCAGUUGAGUUUUCAAGGAAACUGUGAAGGAAACAACUGCUUUUUCUAAUUUCAUUUUAUAUACCUUAAUCUGUAUUCUUGAGUGUGUCGGAGCCUACAGUAUCAAAUUUAGCUUUAAAUUUGUAUGCAAUAUUGAAUCAGAGCACCAUUGGUCUAGAAGCUGGGGAGAGAAGGUUCUAUUGGCUGUUUUAGACUUAUUACUAGAUUAAUAAAGUUAGGUAUGCCAAUCUCCGAGACCAAGGUCAAGCCAAUAAAAAUUCUCAAAAAAUAUAUACUGUAAUAUGGAUGUUAGUGCCAAUAUUUUAAGUUUGACUGGGAUGUCCCUAUCAUGUCUUCAUCAUUUGAAGCCCCUUGUUAUAUCAAUAUUAAGUUUUGAGUCUUUUGAGUUUUGACCAACCACUAGUACCACAAUUAUAAGUUCAUAUGAAUAUAAAUUGUAUAGCUAUUUGCUCUAGCUUCUAUGGGAAAGGCACUUCUUAUGUUUCCUGGAGGUUUCUUAGGUCACUCACUACAACAUUCAUAACUAAGAUAAUGCAAAAUUGAGAUUGAUAAGCUACGUGAGUAACUUUUGUCAAUGUUACAUUGCUCACUUUUAUUGCAAAAUUUCAUCAUUACAUUACAUUGUUUCUUUCUUUAUACUUGCAAAAGAUCAAAACGAUUAGAUAUCAAAAACUAUUUCAUCUAAACAUAUUUGUUGAUAAAGUGGUGUACACCAUCUAACAUUUUCCGAUGCAGAAACUAUUAUAGUUUGUAGAAACAACACUACUAAUGGUCCAUCAAUAUUUGUCGUUUUCCUUAAUGCGUGGCAACAUACGAUUGCUUUUUGAAGCAUAUAUUAGGCUAGCUCUCAAUUUGUUGUUACCUUCAUCUUUUUUUUUUCCUUUUUUUUUUUUUGGGUAGUGCUAGACGUCCGUAUACUUUUUGUUUGUCCCGAAAUGUUGUGUCUCGUUCCCAUAUACAAGUAUCCAACCCAACCCCUCGAGCCAACCAAGGCUCAUGAAUUCACUAGAUUUGGUGUGUCCCAAACUUAUUAGAAUAAAUAAAUCUGGAAUUUAUAAACCUUGUAUUCUGUAGUAUAUAAAUAAAUAUUAAUAGGAAUGUCACUGUGUCGGGUCCUAAAAGAUUAUUAAAAUUUAAAAGGAUUACAUUGGAGUAGACUUAGGUUACGCUAAUUCUUAUUUUUAACCUUUAAAUAGGAUUAUAUUAAAAUAGGAUUUUGCUAAUUUGUGCCCUAAAGGCACACAAUAAUUUUUAUUUUUGAAAAAAAA